rnacentral:rRNA from 1 species
GUGUCAGCCGCCGCGGUAAUACGAAGGGUGCUAGCGUUAUUCGGAAUUAUUGGGCGUAAAGGGUGCGUAGGCGGCAUGUUAAGUCAACUGUUAAAGACCUCAGCCUAACUGGGGAUCGGCGGUAGAUACUGAUGUGCUAGAGGAUGGAAGAGAGAAGUGGAAUUCUUGGAGUAGCGGUAAAAUGCGUAGAUCUCAAGAGGAACACCGAUGGCGAAGGCAGCUUCUUGGUCCAUAUCUGACGCUGAUGCACGAAAGCAUGGGGAGCAAACAGGAUUAGAUACCCUGGUAGUCCAUGCUGUAAACGAUGAUCACUAGACGUUGGUUCUGCUCUGCAGAAUUGGUGUCGUAGCUAACGCGAUAAGUGAUCCGCCUGGGGACUACGGUCGCAAGAUUAAA